UGGCGAACGGGUGAGUAACACGUGGGUAAUCUGCCCUGCACUCUGGGAUAAGCCUGGGAAACUGGGUCUAAUACUGGAUAUGACCUUUCUCCUUAUGGGGUUUGGUGGAAAGUUUUUCGGUGUAGGAUGAGCCCGCGGCCUAUCAGCUUGUUGGUGGGGUGAUGGCCUACCAAGGCGACGACGGGUAGCCGGCCUGAGAGGGUGAUAGGCCACAUUGGGACUGAGAUACGGCCCAG
rnacentral:rRNA from 1 species